rnacentral:rRNA from 1 species
UGGGGAAUAUUGCACAAUGGGCGCAAGCCUGAUGCAGCCAUGCUGCGUGUAUGAAGAAGGCCUUCGGGUUGUAAAGUACUUUCAGUCGGGAGGAAGGUGGUAAGGUUAAUAACCUUAUCAAUUGACGUUACCGACAGAAGAAGCACCGGCUAACUCCGUGCCAGCAGCCGCGGUAAUACGGAGGGUGCAAGCGUUAAUCGGAAUUACUGGGCGUAAAGCGCACGCAGGCGGUUGAUUGAGUCAGAUGUGAAAUCCCCGGGCUUAACCCGGGAAUUGCAUCUGAUACUGGUCAGCUAGAGUCUUGUAGAGGGGGGUAGAAUUCCAUGUGUAGCGGUGAAAUGCGUAGAGAUGUGGAGGAAUACCGGUGGCGAAGGCGGCCCCCUGGACAAAGACUGACGCUCAGGUGCGAAAGCGUGGGGAGCAAACAGG